GAUGAUUCUUCAUCUAUGUGGAUUACACCAAGAACACACUCCUCUUGGGUUGUUUUUGACUUAGGUCGACCUUUUACACUUUCUGGUGUUGGCAUAUUUGGUUGGAACAGUGAGCAAAUGCCAAGAAGGUGUUUGUUGCAAAAAGCUGAAAAUUUAGAGGGACCAUGGUUCAAUGUAAGGAUGUUACACUGUUCACAAACAGGUCCGACAGAUCCUACAUCACCAGG